rnacentral:rRNA from 1 species
CCUACGGGUGGCAGCAGUGAGGAAUAUUGGUCAAUGGACGCAAGUCUGAACCAGCCAUGUCGCGUGCAGGAAGACGGCUCUAUGAGUUGUAAACCGCUUUUGUACGAGGGUAAACGCCUAUACGUGUAUCUGUCUGAAAGUAUCGUACGAAUAAGGAUCGGCUAAUUCCGUGCCAGCAGCCGCGGUAAUACGGAGGAUUCAAGCGUUAUCCGGAUUUAUUGGGUUUAAAGGGUGCGUAGGCGGGCGGAUAAGUUAGAGGUGAAAUCCCGGGGCUCAACUUCGGAAUUGCAGCUGAUACUGUUCGGCUAGAGAGUAGUUGCGGUAGGCGGAAUGUAUGGUGUAGCGGUGAAAUGCUUAGAGAUCAUACAGAACACCGAUUGCGAAGGCAGCUUACCGAGGUACUUCUGACGUUGAGGCACGAAGGCGUGGGGAGCAAACAGGAUUAGAUACCCUAGUAGUC